rnacentral:tRNA from 1 species
GCCGGUGUGGCUCAGCGGAUAGAGCGUCAGCCUGUGGACUGAAGGGUCCCGGGUUCGACUCCCUGCCAAGGGCA